CAGUGACAGCACAGCUGAGUCAGCGAUACACCACAAAGAGGAAGCAGUUUCUGUUUGUUUUUGUAACCCUGAGAGAGAAACACAUCCUACCCUCUCUGACUUCUUAGGAAAAAGUUGUUUGAAGAAGAAAGAAAGAGCAUCCCCUUUUGAUGUGGCUAAGAUCACUUCUGUGCUCCUCUCACAGGGCAAGGCAGACAGAGCAGUGAGCCCUGAGGGCCUGGAUCCACCUGUGGAAGGGAAGGCGACUCCCCAGAUGAUUGGUCCUGGCUUCCUGGGGUGGAUCAUGGACAUGAACCCAACCAGCCAGAAUACAGUUCAUCAAAUCAAAUGGCAUGAAGACGGUCAUCAGUCAAAGCCAGGUGGUGGCGUGUGCCUGUAAUCCCAGCACUCAGGAGGCUGAGACAAGGAGGAUCACUGCAAGUUCAAGGCCAGCCUGGACUACGAAGUGAGUUCAAGCCCAGCCUGAACUGCAUAGUGAAACCUUGUCUAAAAAAGACAAGGAAAAAAAUAUCCUCUGUCAGGUCCAGUUUUGAAGAAAUUUUUAAAAGAAAGAAGCUCUGAGAAGUGAUCUAAAUAAGGCCAGAAAAAUAACAUACUUCAGAAGACAUCUUAGAUUGGACCAAAUACCAUAAUAAAGACCUAAAAACCUUCUCUGAGAAAAAAAGUAAUAUUAAGAAUAAAGUGAAAAGGCUGAAAUUGGUGGUCCAUGGUAGUCCCCCGGCCGUGGGGGGCUAAGGCAGGAGGACUCUGAGUUUGAGGCCAGCCUGGGCAACUCAGCGAGACCCUGAUUCAAAAUAACAAAAAGAGAAAGAAUAACAUUUUAUUUCCUGUGCCUCGGGCACAGUGGAACACUUUAUACCUAUUAUACACAUUAUAUGCUUCAACAAAUCCAGAUGGUCAACGAACUGCUAAACAACCACAAGUUAUUUUUGAAAACUAGAAAACAAGCUAUUGUUUAUCUCACUGGUUAAAGAAAAAUUAAUUUCUAGGUAUCAAACAAAUGAAUAAAUAGAAAACAGAGACGAUUAGAUAGAGGGAUGGUAAAAAUGCACUUAGAAAGAUGCAAUUACAUUGCCCCCAAACAUCCUGGAUUCAUUCUAACUUGGGAUUGAUCAUAAUAAAUCCAAAAAUAAUCAUUAGCCAAAGAUUUUAAUUAUAGUGAUAUAAGUCAAGUGAUAUAAUCUGUAUUUAAAAUUUUUUCUUUAUUUUUUGCAAUACUGGGGAUUGAACCCAGAGUCUUUGCAACAAGCUACACCCCCCCCAGACCUUUUUUAUUAUUUUAUUUUUGAGACAGAGUUUUCUCUAAGUCACUAAAUUGCCUGAAUUGGGCUAGAACUCAAAAUCUCCCUGCUUUGGCUUCCCAGAAUACUGGGAGUACAAACAAAUGCCACCAUGUCUGGCUAUAAUCUGCAUUUUUCACUAAGUGUGACAUUGAAAUUCAUACAGAGUCCAACUUAACAAUUUAUUCAGUUGAUGGGCAUCUAACCAGGGGUGGCUUCCUGAAGCCACAUGCAGAGGGACCUGGCCCUCCCAACCCACAUGACCAGGCCACGCAUAGUGUCUUACACCACAAGAUGGCUGCCCAUGGAGUCUCCAUUACACUGUAAAUCCAAGGGCUGCCUAGGGGCCUGAGGCUAAAUGUAACCCAUCUGACCCCACAGUGUGCCUCUGAGAUUCUGACAGGAAAAACUUGUUUCAACUCUAAACAGAGGUUCUGCAGGAACCACUUAUGUGCUUAAUGGUAGAAUUUUGCCAUUCAUCACCAAUCCUCAGUGCCCUCGGGUUAGCUAAUAAUUGCAACUCAUGAGAGAAUUUUGAGUUCCUCAGAUUUAAUUCCUCUAAAAUUCAGACUGAAAUUAGGACAUCAUGAACUGCUGACAAAAGAAAGUCGGUCUGAGUCACUGCUCACAUGUUCCUGACUCAGGUUUUUGUCACAUGAUUCUCAUUCAACACCAUUUUCAUUUUAAGUAAAUGAAUGUGGCAUUAACUUAACUGAAUUUUUAGGGGUUUUUUUGUUUUUGGUUUUGUUUUUAUUUUUGUUUUUUGAGAUAGGGUCUGACUAUGUAGUGUGGGAUGACCUUAAAUUCAUUAUGUCGCCUAGACUGGCCACAACAAUCCUCCUGCCUCAGCCUCCCACGUGCUGGGAUUACAGGUAUUACUUGAAUUUCUGAUCACAUGGUUCAUUAUUGUAAAAAUUUGGUCAAGCUUUCCCAAACCAAUUGAGUCAACCAAUCUUAAUCCAGAUAGGCAAUAAAAAUAGUCCCUCGUUAUACUUGUGGUUUGGACAAAUUAAACAUCAUUAGAUCACUAAUGACAGUAAGGAUACUGGUCAUUGGCAUCUUCCAAGUUUUAUUAUUUUCUUUUCUUUUUUUGGGUACCGGGACCUCAUGACCUCACGCUGGCCAGGCAGGCACAUAAACCGCUGAGCUAAAUCCCCAGCUGUUUUAUUUUUUUUUCCACAAAUGAUACCCCUUUCUGUGUCUUCUCUGAUUGUGUGUAUUUUCUCUUUAGACAGUGGCCCAAAUUUGGAUCCCUUAUUUCAUAGGUUAGAAUGUUGUGACCGUCCAGGGCAUGGCUGGAGGACCACCCUCAAUGCUGCAAGGCCUGAGUUGCAGUUGAAUCCCUCUCUCGUCAAGGUGGGGGACCUUGCACAAGCUGCUGGGCAGUGUAAAACUGUGGUCUGUCCUUCAAAAAUGGAUCUGAUGCUACUUGCUCUGGCAGUCUUCCCGGGGCCUUCUGUGAAGUUUAAUGAGCUAUUACACAAAAGUUAUGUAAAGUUCAGAACCACGUACUGCAAGGCAGUGGUGGGGAGCUUCUUAGAGCUUUCAGCUGAUACAACAGUGGGCUGUGCCGCCCUGCUCCAAGGUGUUGUUAUUGGCAUUCUAGGGAUCACAGGGCUUACACCCUACAGAACAUCCAAAUCACGAUUUACUGGUAAAAAUGCUCAUUGCUAAACUCUGUUUCAACAGAAUCUGAUGUAAUAGGUCCCAAGUAGAUCCCAAAGAUCUGCAUUGUUUUUAGAUGAGGUCUUACUACGUAGCCCAGGCUGGACUCAAACUUGGGAUCCUCUUGGCUUGGCCUCCUGAGUAGCUGUGACUACCAGUUCAUUAGCUUAUUCAAGCAUCUCACUUAGAGCAAUGAGAAAUGGCUCUAAGUGAGAUGCUUGAGUAAGCUAUGAACUGGUGAUCUACUGAAAAACAGUACCCAGAUGAAUUUAUUGCAGGAAGACACUUUUUCUGGAGUGUUCUUAGGGUUGGUUGAAAUAUGAAAGACCUUUUGCUUUCCACUAUACCUUUGCUCCCUCUGAUGCUAUUUGGGGCCAGUGUUUCUGGUCUUCCUUCUUCUCUGACAUGAUUUCUAGUGGAUUAAUCUCCUCCUGGUGGUUCCGUUCCAUUUCAAGGAGACUAACGGAGCCCGUCAUUUUACUGAACUGUGUGGGCUUGCCGCAGGCAUUUGAGAUGCAUAAGAAACAAAUCUCCAACAACUGGCAACUGCUGCUCCAUCCAAGAAGGGAAGUAACAGAGCUGUUGUCUCUCACCAGCCAUGGAAUCCAGUGCUUACAAUUUUGCCACCUGGAAUACAUCGCACAGGCUCGCCUGGGGCUAAAUUAUUAAGUCACUGAAGUUGACUUUGAUGUCCCCACCACUGCAUCUCCUGAUCAUUCUCAUUUUCCCUCCCUGUCACCCUGCCUCACCUCAGGAGGUGCCAUGAUGGUACUCCCUCCCCCCAGUUAUCCUGAACUGAGGAGUUUUUCUUUUCUAGGAUGACACCCUAACUGCAUGGCCAAAGUGAUAGGGGAGAGGGAGCCUCCAGUUAAUCUAAUCAACAUGUUGUGCUGAAUUCAAUGUGUUGCUCCUCCCAGAUUACUGGAAAGAAGAUAUUUUAAAGGCAUUUUAAAGAAGAUAUUUUAAUCCCAAAGAAUCAACUUGCAGGAAUACAAGCCCCUCAAUAACCGAGGCCUGGAGGAAGGAGUAGCCAGUGGUCUGGAGAAAGGACUCCAGGCGCCCUCCCUAAAUCAGCCAUCCUGGCAGCUGAAGGAUGUAUCUAGGGAACACGGGAAGCUGGCCGUGUUAGUUCUCCAGCCUCUCUCCAAUUCCUGCAAUAUAGGGGCCGUGGGUUUCACUGAAUCCUCUUGCAAGAAGUCGUUGUGCUGCUCCCUACACAACCUGGGCCCCUGGGGUCUUUGGAGGGCGGUGCAAACUGUGCAGGUUCAAUCCAUCGACACCAAAGAGUGACUGCAGCACCUCUUCAGGUCAGCUCUGCUGAGCCCAGACUGGUCAGUGUAGUUCUGAUUCCCUGCUCAGAGUGGCUGGCUCUGUCAGAACUACACUGAUCCAUCUUGACUGUCUCCUGGCUGCCCUGGACCUAAUGUCAGAGCGCUCCUGGGAAGGACGAGUCAUCAUUUUCAUGAGAGAGCUUUGGGGCAUGGCCCUUCCUGUGCAAGUGCCCACUUGGGUUGGAAACCAUCUUGGCCCACAGCAGAGGCAAGGAUGAAACUGACCACACGGGUGGAACAAUGACCUGGGAUGAAACUGAUUCCUCGAGAUCACCAGAGAGUUGCUGAACCCAGCAACACUGAAGUCCACCCUACCUCUAGACUUCCAGUUAUGCAAAUUUAUGAACAGGAGUAGGUUCCACCAUAGGUAACCAAAAACACAAAAUAACAGUGGCUUAAACAAAUUUCAGAUUUAUUUUUUUAGAUUUAAAGAAAAAAAAUUGAUCUUUUGUAAAUGGGAAGAGAACUAAGAGAAGGAAGAAGGGGGAAACUAGGGAAGAGAAAAGGGACAUAAAAGAAUUAAGAUGUAUCAUGUACAUGUACUGACUCCCCAUAAUGAAUGUAAUCAUUAUGGGCUGUAGAUACAUGCUAAUAAAAGUGCCAGGUGUGGUGUUACACACCUGUAAUUCCAGUACACGGGAGACUGAGGCAGGAGGAUUACUGUAAGUUCAAGGCCAAGCCUGGGUUACAUGAUGAGACCCUGUCUCAUAAAAACAAAAUACAAAAAUAAAAAUAAAAAUUUUAGAAAUAUUUUUUUAAAAAGAGGAUGCCAGGGACCACGUGCCUUCCAUCUACCAUCCUAACACUUUUACUGCUCCCAGUGGGGUUGGCUUCUCCAGCUCUAGCCACACACUGAAUCCGGUCAGCAAGAAGGAGGAAAGAGAAGGGAUGUGUCAGAGGCUGUACCUAAUAAUAUGCCUGAAUUUAAUUACAUGGCUGCACCACUUUAGAAACAUUAUCUUUAUCCUAGGAGACCAUGUGUCUGGCUAAAAACUGAGAAUUCCUCUCCUGGUGGAAGGGGAUAACCUGCAAUCACAGCCACAGUGCAUCUCCCUGUAGUUUAAGGCAGCUGAAGUUGGGUUUCCUGUUACUCACAAUCAAACACACCCUAUUGCUAUACUCCUUGCCUGUCAUCUUCAGUAACAUGCUGACAGAUAAAAAUGAGCCCUUCACUGAGAGCAUCUCAAAGUUUUUCCUUAUUUUUCUCCCCAGGCUUGGUACAGCACUUGGCACAUAGACACAUUUGAUAAACAUUUGGUACAUUGAACAAAAUUAACCAAGAGGACUCCAACAGACAGAGUUCAAUAGAAUCUUGGCUUUUUGACUUGUCAGGUCUGUCCUUGGGUGAGUCACAAACCCUUCUGAGCCUCAAUUUCUUUGCUUGUAAAUAAGAGAGGUAAUACCUACCUCAAAACAUUGUUAUAAGUAGCCAGGCAUGGUAGUGCACGCCUGUAAUUCCAGUAAUCGGGAGGCUGAGGCAGGAGAAUUGCUGUGAGUUCAAGUCCAGCCUGAGCUUCAAAGUGAGUUCAGGGCCAGCCUGAACUGCAUAGUGAAACCCUUUCUCAAAAGAGACAAAAAUAAACAAACAAAAAACCACUGUUAUAAAUGUCUGUGUUAGUGUGAAGUGCCUCGUACAAUUCCUGGCACAUACAGGAUUGACGCACACCCACCCACCAUGUAUAAGUAUUUUUAAAAUAAUAAUUAUUUGCAUUAGAUGUUUUAAAGGAAAUCUGAAGUUGUGAAAAGAGGGAAUUUGGGCAAUGUUUCAAAUACACACAAACUCUGCAGGCCAUUAUUAAAUCUUAUUCUUAGGAAAAUAUGACUGCUGAGUUCAAAGAAAAGAAUACUUUGAAGAGAUUUUUUGUUAAAACUCUGAAACCUUCUUAGAUAUCAAAUAGUUACUUAGUGAGUUGUGGGUAAAUGAACCAGAACAUAUGUAUUGAGUUUAUCCUGGAGCCCAAUGGGUGUAAAGCCGAACUAGAAAAUGUGCUUUGCAUUCUCUCAUUGUCCAGGGACUGGAAAAAUAGCAUAAUGUUCUGCUAAACCGGAGAUGACCUUGAAUUUAGCGAACAGGCCAAAUGAUGAAGAACCCCAGGCCACUUUUCAGAGACUUUGCCACAUUAAGAGAUUUGUGACAUGCUAUAACCUGAGAUCCUUUUCAUUUGCUGUCUUCUGUAGUUGGGCUCAUAAAGUAGAGGGAGAAAAUGUCUGGUGUCUGUCUUUCCCCAGUCGAGGUCCAAUACACACUAGUCCUCAGAGAUGCAUUAGGAAUCAGAGUUAGCUUUUAAGCUCCAGGGUAGAUAAAGAUUUAGCAAAA